CAUGACGACAGGGAUCAUUCUCGUAGUAGGCGCGCGCAUGGGCAAGGCGGUGUAACCGCCGGGCGACAGCACCCCAUGCGCGACAGACAGGCUCCUCCGGGGGCCUUUUUUAUUGCUCGAA
rnacentral:sRNA from 1 species